rnacentral:rRNA from 1 species
AUUGAACGCUGGCGGCAUGCCUUACACAUGCAAGUCGAACGGUAACGGGUCCUUCGGGAUGCCGACGAGUGGCGAACGGGUGAGUAAUAUAUCGGAACGUGCCCAGUAGUGGGGGAUAACUGCUCGAAAGAGCAGCUAAUACCGCAUACGACCUGAGGGUGAAAGGGGGGGAUCGCAAGACCUCUCGCUAUUGGAGCGGCCGAUAUCAGAUUAGCCAGUUGGUGGGGUAAAGGCCUACCAAGGCAACGAUCUGUAGUUGGUCUGAGAGGACGACCAGCCACACUGGGACUGAGACACGGCCCAGACUCCUACGGGAGGCAGCAGUGGGGAAUUUUGGACAAUGGGCGCAAGCCUGAUCCAGCAAUGCCGCGUGCAGGAAGAAGGCCUUCGGGUUGUAAACUGCUUUUGUCAGGGAAGAAAUCUUCUGGGCUAAUACCCCGGGAGGAUGACGGUACCUGAAGAAUAUGCACCGGCUAACUACGUGCCAGCAGCCGCAGUAA